rnacentral:rRNA from 1 species
CCCUUAGAUGUUCUGGGCUGCACACGUGCUACACUGGCAGAUUCAGCGAGCUUCAUGCCCUGAUCUGAAAGGAAUGGGAAAUCUUUUCAAAACCUGCCGUGCUUGGGAUAGAUGUUUGCAAUUAUUCAUCUUCAACGAGGAUUGCCUUGUAAGCGCACGUCAUCAGCGUGCAUUGAAUACGACCCUGUAUUCUGUACACACCGCCCGUCGCUCCUACCGAUUGAAGUUUUCGGUGAGUUGACAGGAGGAUUUUUUUGAAACUGGUUCGCCAGUGGAUUUUAGAUCCAAAUGCCAACGAAUCGAUGGCUUUAGAGGAAGGAGAAGUCGUAACA